GUUCGCUUCUGCGAAACAUAUAAUAAAAUUGGAAUGAUACAGAGAAGAUUAGCAUGGCCCCUGCACAAGGAUGACAUGCAAAUUUGUGAAGCAUUCCAUAUUUUU
ensembl:snRNA U6 U6 spliceosomal RNA